GACGAACGCUGGCGGCGUGCUUAACACAUGCAAGUCGAACGGAAAGGCCCUGCUUUUGUGGGGUGCUCGAGUGGCGAACGGGUGAGUAACACGUGAGUAACCUGCCCUUGACUUUGGGAUAACUUCAGGAAACUGGGGCUAAUACCGGAUAGGAGCUCCUGCUGCAUGGUGGGGGUUGGAAAGUUUCGGCGGUUGGGGAUGGACUCGCGGCUUAUCAGCUUGUUGGUGGGGUAGUGGCUUACCAAGGCUUUGACGGGUAGCCGGCCUGAGAGGGUGACCGGCCACAUUGGGACUACGGUACGGCCCAGACUCCUACGGGAGGCAGCAGUGGAGAAUAUUGCACAAUGGGCGGAAGCCAGAUGCAGCAGCGCCGCGUGCGGGAUGACGGCCUUCGGGUUGUAAACCGCUUUCGCCUGUGACGAAGCGUGAGUGACGGUAAUGGGUAAAGAAGCACCGGCUAACUACGUG
rnacentral:rRNA from 1 species